GAUGAACGCUGGCGGCGUGCCUAAUACAUGCAAGUCGAGCGAACAGACGAGGAGCUUGCUCCUCUGACGUUAGCGGCGGACGGGUGAGUAACACGUGGAUAACCUACCUAUAAGACUGGGAUAACUUCGGGAAACCGGAGCUAAUACCGGAUAAUAUAUUGAACCGCAUGGUUCAAUAGUGAAAGACGGUUUUGCUGUCACUUAUAGAUGGAUCCGCGCCGCAUUAGCUAGUUGGUAAGGUAACGGCUUACCAAGGCAACGAUGCGUAGCCGACCUGAGAGGGUGAUCGGCCACACUGGAACUGAGACACGGUCCAGGCUCCUACGGGAGGCAGCAGUGGGGAAUCUUCCGCAAUGGGCGAAAGCCUGACGGAGCAACGCCGCGUGAGUGAUGAAGGUCUUCGGAUCGUAAAACUCUGUUAUUAGGGAAGAACAAAUGUGUAAGUAACUAUGCACGUCUUGACGGUACCUAAUCAGAAAGCCACGGCUAACUACGUG
rnacentral:rRNA from 1 species